GGGCGCUUAGCACAGUGGUAGCGCGCACGCUUUGCAUGUUCAGGGCUAACAAUCCUGAAACUCUUGCGUGAGGCCGUGGGUUCAAUCCCCACAGUGUCCA